AAAGAGAGUGCCUCUAAGAGAAAGGCCUGUUUCAGUAUAUACUGAAGAUGGAUGAGAGGCUGUGAGAGAAUGGGGUACCGAGGAAAAGAAGAGGAACAGAAGAGUGAUUCCUUGAACUGUGGUUUACAUGUGGCUGAAGAUACACAAGCCCAUUCUGAAGAUCAUUUUUCCUUUGAAGUUUCAUAAGUUUGAUCUUGAUGCAACAUUCUGCUUCACUUCCUGCUGUGGAGUGCAACGAGCAUUUGUCUCUGCAGUACAAGACCUUCUGCUUCCCACAAUGAAGAUAGCUGGACGAUUCUUACGAUAGUAUGUUUCAGGAUUAAAUGCAGCUACCUCUACAAGAUCACGUAUCUGCCUAUGUAUGUCAUUUAUCUUCUUCAUCUAUG